rnacentral:lncRNA from 1 species
AAAUUGUGAAGUUAUGUCCAUCACCACAGCUUGAUCACUAAAUAAGAAAAUCAUUCAUUAUUUUUCAAACUGCAAAUGAGAAGGAAGUAAGAGAUAAAGAUGCUAACUGAUCAUGCUAUGCUAGCUUUAGAUUAUUGACUUCACCAUUGACCCGCUACUUAAGUUUAAAAUUAUGGAUUCGGAUUGAUUCCAAUGUGAAUACUACAAUUUUAAAAAACAGCCACGUUGUAGAAGUUAUUUCAUGCUGAUGUUCAACAAAUCAACAUGGAGGACAUCAUAAAACUACAGAUGACUCAAAUUGUGAACUGAAUUCAUAAUCAAAUUAAAUAAAUAUAAUUCGUGGGAAUGUUUGUAGCAAUAAAACAUAUGUCAGAAUGCAUCUAGCAUUACCUUCAGAAAAAUUAUAGCUUUCAUCUAAAAAGUCAAUAUAUAAUUCAAUUUUCAUGUACUUGUUUCAUUAAUGAAGAUCAAGAUACCCAACAAGAUAUUUUGUGAUAAUCGAAUAAAAAUUUAGCAUCUACAAACAUGAACAAAAUUAACAAAAUACUUAAACCACAUCUCAAUUCUCUCACCUUGCUAGGCUUUAUCCAGAAACCAACUUUAAAAUAAUGCAGAUGGAGUUGAGAAUUAUAAGAGGAACUCUUAGGUACUGAAUCGCAUAUAUGAGACCUAAAACCUGGCCCUUGAAAGUUUUUGUCCUGUUGCCGGAAAAAUCUGAUAAGCCCCAUCCUCUAGGUGCAAGAAAGCGGUCAUCAUUUAGUAUUGCCAGUGAAUUUGCAAGCAGCAGGAACCCCUCAACUAAUGUCCACAAACCCAUUUCCCUGCAUUGCGAGGAAACCCAACCCAAGUCAAAUAAGUUCAAGUCAUUUUCCCUUUCUCUUUCAUAUACAGUUCAACUAUUAACAUUAGUAGAGAACAACAGAUGACUAUGACAAGUCAUAAGAAGCUUCCUCAUGAAAGGCUGGUGUUGAUCACCGCUGAAGCCCCUCCUCAUAAAUCAUCUCAGUAUAGGGGUCACAAUAAGUUCUUAAAAGCAAGGCAGGCUUAAUUUGAAUUCAUCAAACCAAAUACAGUUCUUUGAUAUUCUUUAAAUUAAAACAUUACUAAUGAAUUAUUGCAUAUACGAAGAGUAUUUGAUGCUUUACAGAUCACAUAAAACUAUGCACUGGCUACUCAGAAUGAAGAUCAAGUUCAUUUAAGAGCAUCUACUGCUAUAUGCACAAAUAAAAUCAUGGGAAUUGUAAAAUUAGGUUCCCAAGAAGAUCUGUGUGCAGUUUCCUUUCUCAGGGCUAAACAUUAUAUAAAGAUAAUAGAAAACAAACCACAUGGAGUUAGAGAACAAGGAUAGAGAUGUGACUAAAUGAAUGGAGACAAUCUAGAAAUCAACUUAAGUUCAAAAUUAAAACAAUAAAAUUGUUAGAGGAAAAUAAAAUCCUCUAAUUUGUUUUAGAAAACUCUCAUUGACAAGCGCUUAGUUAAACUAUUCACUCCAGCUGCAAUAAAUCAUAUCAGUUUGUAAAAGUUACACUCUACCAGCAUCGUUGGGACACAUGUCAGCAAUCAUGUAAGAAGCAAUAGAAAAACAAAUUGGGAAUUUUUUUGUAUAAUCCCCUCACCCUAUGAAUUUACGACAGAUACUUAAAUAUCAAUAUCUCAAAAAGAGAAAACGUUUAAUGAAUAUUUCUACAAUAGAACUGGUCAAACUCUCCAAGGUAAGAACAUCUUGAAUCACCUGAUGAGAACUCUAGUACCUGCAAACAAAUCAAUAUGAAACUGAAAGAGUGUUGCAAGUGAAAUUGUGAAGUUAUGUCCAUCACCACAGCUUGAUCACUAAAUAAGAAAAUCAUUCAUUAUUUUUCAAACUGCAAAUGAGAAGGAAGUAAGAGAUAAAGAUGCUAACUGAUCAUGCUAUGCUAGCUUUAGAUUAUUGACUUCACCAUUGACCCGCUACUUAAGUUUAAAAUUAUGGAUUCGGAUUGAUUCCAAUGUGAAUACUACAAUUUUAAAAAACAGCCACGUUGUAGAAGUUAUUUCAUGCUGAUGUUCAACAAAUCAACAUGGAGGACAUCAUAAAACUACAGAUGACUCAAAUUGUGAACUGAAUUCAUAAUCAAAUUAAAUAAAUAUAAUUCGUGGGAAUGUUUGUAGCAAUAAAACAUAUGUCAGAAUGCAUCUAGCAUUACCUUCAGAAAAAUUAUAGCUUUCAUCUAAAAAGUCAAUAUAUAAUUCAAUUUUCAUGUACUUGUUUCAUUAAUGAAGAUCAAGAUACCCAACAAGAUAUUUUGUGAUAAUCGAAUAAAAAUUUAGCAUCUACAAACAUGAACAAAAUUAACAAAAUACUUAAACCACAUCUCAAUUCUCUCACCUUGCUAGGCUUUAUCCAGAAACCAACUUUAAAAUAAUGCAGAUGGAGUUGAGAAUUAUAAGAGGAACUCUUAGGUACUGAAUCGCAUAUAUGAGACCUAAAACCUGGCCCUUGAAAGUUUUUGUCCUGUUGCCGGAAAAAUCUGAUAAGCCCCAUCCUCUAGGUGCAAGAAAGCGGUCAUCAUUUAGUAUUGCCAGUGAAUUUGCAAGCAGCAGGAACCCCUCAACUAAUGUCCACAAACCCAUUUCCCUGCAUUGCGAGGAAACCCAACCCAAGUCAAAUAAGUUCAAGUCAUUUUCC